rnacentral:tRNA from 1 species
GGGGGUAUAGCUCAGUGGUAGAGCACUUGCCUAGCCUGCCUGAGGCCCUGGGUUAAAUUCUCAGGACCAUCA